rnacentral:rRNA from 1 species
UCUUGACAUCCAGAGAACUUCCAGAGAUGGAUGGGUGCCUUCGGGAACUCUGAGACAGGUGCUGCAUGGCUGUCGUCAGCUCGUGUUGUGAAAUGUUGGGUUAAGUCCGCAACGAGCGCAACCCCUAUCCUUUGUUGCCAGCGAUUCGGUCGGGAACUCAAAGGAGACUGCCGGUGAUAAACCGGAGGAAGGUGGGGAUGACGUCAAGUCAUCAUGGCCCUUACGAGUAGGGCUACACACGUGCUACAAUGGCGUAUACAAAGAGAAGCGACCUCGCGAGAGCAAGCGGACCUCAUAAAGUACGUCGUAGUCCGGAUUGGAGUCUGCAACUCGACUCCAUGAAGUCGGAAUCGCUAGUAAUCGUAGAUCAGAAUGCUACGGUGAAUACGUUCCCGGGCCUUGUACACACCGCCCGUCACACCAUGGGAGUGGGUUGCAAAAGAAGUAGAUAGCUUAACCUUCGGGAGGGCGUUUACCACUUUGUGAUUCAUGACUGGGGUGAAGUCGUAACAAGGUAGGCGUAGCGAG